AAUGAACGUUGGCGGCGUGGAUUAGGCAUGCAAGUCGAGCGAGAACCCCGCAAGGGGGGACAGCGGCGAAAGGGACAGUAAUGUGUAGAUUAUCUGCCCUCAGGUCCGGGAUAGCUGCGGGAAACUGCAGGUAAUACCGGAUAACAUCUCCGGAUCAAAGGUGUGAUUCCGCCUGAGGAUGAGUCUGCAUCCUAUUAGCUAGUUGGUGGGGUAAUGGCCUACCAAGGCAUUGAUGGGUAGCAGGUGUGAGAGCACGACCUGCGUCAUUGGGACUGAGACACUGCCCAGACACCUACGGGUGGCUGCAGUCGAGAAUCUUCGGCAAUGGGCGCAAGCCUGACCGAGCGACGCCGCGUGUGGGAUGAAGGCCUUCGGGUUGUAAACCACUGUCAGAGGGGAUGAAAUGCAGGUGGGUUCCCCCAUCUGUUUGACAUAGCCUCAGAGGAAGGACGGGCUAAGUUCGUG
rnacentral:rRNA from 1 species